CUUGAAACUUCGAAAUUCUGCUUGUAUUUUUCAGGUAGUUGCAUCGCUACCAAUGAAAGCUUGUUAUUAUUGGCAGUACCUACACUGGCAGACAGUAGGCAAACGUUGUUUUAAUAGGGUAAAUCGACCUUUACUUCAUCUUGCAAUUCUGGCGCGAGGAACGUUUAAGGUACGUUUACGCGCUGCGUUUUUUAUUGGGUCGAUUUCAGAUGCACUUUGGUAAUAUUUGAAAAAUACGUGGCACACAUUCGACAAAAGCGUUACGUUUACUAUCUGCACACCGGCUGCAAACGAACAUGUUUUUAGUUGUCUAAACUAACACUGUCAGCAAAUCUUAGUCACGCUUCGAAGUUGGAGUAAAAUGUUUUACAUAUUACAAUAUGGAAUUAAAUAAUCAAGUCAAAGACGUUUCA